UACAGAGGUGGCAAGCGUUGUUCGGAAUUACUGGGCGUAAAGGGCGCGUAGGCGGUUGCGUAAGUCAUCUGUGAAAUCCCGGAGCUCAACUCCGGGGCUGCAGGUGAGACUGCGUGACUAGAGCACAGUAGAGGCGAGUGGAAUUCCCGGUGUAGCGGUGGAAUGCGUAGAUAUCGGGAGGAACAUCAGUGGCGAAGGCGGCCAUCUGGAUCAACACUGACGCUGAGGCACGAAAGCGUGGGGAGCAAACAGG
rnacentral:rRNA from 1 species